GGGGUGAGCGCGCCACGUGCGUGCGCCGGGCGCAAAGGCCGUGCGCUCGGCCGGCCCGGAGCUGCCGCGCGGGGUGAGCAGGGCAGGAAGCUGGGUGCCGGCUGGUGCCUGGCUCCAGGGAGGGGACGUCACGGGUCACCGCCUGGAGGAAAGCGGGCUGUGUGCGGCGGGAAAGGACACAGGGUGGGCUUGGACACAAGAGAUGCUGAGGAAGUUGCCCUGCUAUUCUGGUUUGGGGAUCCUAGAUCUGCUUCUCAGACAUUGAUCCCAAAGAGCUAGAGACGAGCUCGGCGACCUCCAUACACACGCCGGGCCACGUGAAAGGAAGCCAUCCUGCACGGGGCACAACGCCCUGGGCUGCCCACUGCGCUCCCUCUGCCCUCCUCUGCCCUGAGCCAGUCCUGUGGGCUCUAGACCUCGCAGACCAGCAAAAGGAGAGGGCCCAGGACUGGGGUUUAAAGUCUAAGCUGUCAGGAGCAACAAUUAUUUCAACAACAAAAACUAAAAGCCAACCACUGCCUUUAGGAGGGAUGGAACUCAGGACCUUGUGCUUGCAAGGCUGGCAGUGGAACCACUGAGCUAAAUCCUGGGCCCUAUACCACUGCUUUGUGUAUUCACUUAGUCUCUGUGGCUGUCACCGAAGAAAAAAGUAGGUCAUCAGAGACUGGGAAUUGGUCCAGGGUGAGAACUGCUCUUGAAUUUUACCUUUGAGGAUGUAGAGAUCUCUUUAGUCCUGCAAUCCUGUGACUUGGUGGAUAACGUUGCCUUAUUUCCUUUUCACAGGCAUGACGUCUUUGGGAUACUUUCCGGUUUCUGGUGCCACUUGUUUUUGUUUUAUUUCUUGAGGGUUGCUUCCUCAGGUUCCUUAGCUGCUUGAUUGCUGAAGAGGUGCUCCAAACAACAAGUCCAGCUUCUUUUCACCUCAGUUGACCUUGGGAAUGCUGUUGUCGCCAAGGAGACAUUAAUAUCUUCAGUCUCCUGCUAGCUUGAAUUCUUUAGGGCAGAGUCUGCUGAGAUUGCCUCCUGAUGUCAUUCUAAAUAUCUGGUGGCCCUCUAUGGGAACUGGGCCAGGCUCUGGGUGGCCAGAAAGGGGGAGCCCGUGGAAUUCCUCAUGGCGUUUUGCUCCAGAGGGACCUACUGGUGCUCCAUUGCAUAUGUGAUGACAUUACUGCUGUGUCCAAGGGACACUUGAAAAAAGAAGUCAUAGUCAUUUUGCAUUUUUUGGUCUUAAUAAAACCUCUCGGGAUGUUUGAAAUUACUGUUGAUUUCAUGAUUGGUGUAAUGUUUAUUAAAGAAAAAAGGCUCAUAAGAGUAAUAAAAAUGUAUUAGAGUAUUCACACUAACAUACCUU
rnacentral:lncRNA from 1 species